ACUCGAAGCUCUAGCAAGUGUUGCCUGCUUGGCUGCCAGUGGCGAGGAUUGGUGGAGUCGCUGGUUGAGUUCAGAUAGAAGCAAGAUGGCUGGGCUAGAAGUAUGCACUAAGUGCUGUCUGACUCAGCUUUGAAGUAGACCUUCCUCCCACUGCCGCUCCGUUUCUGCCCAUAUAAUGAAGGCUUACCACUUUCUGUAAGCUUUGUCUGCAUGACCUCAUCCAGCUGGGAGAUCCCCCUGCCAGGCCAGCAAAUGACCAAUCCCAUAAUGCCUUCUGAGGACAGCACCCUGGGAAG
rnacentral:lncRNA from 10 species